GUGUGUGUGUGUGUGUGUGUGUGUUGGAGAGAAAGAUGGCCAGGUCUGUGAGCAGGUGCUGGAGUUAAUGAGUGUGUUUCCCUCUAGAGUGUAAGACCAUAUGACCUUGUGUGGCGGGUAAGACAUGGCUCCUUUGGAAUAGCACUCUAAUAUAUCACCUCCAUGUGUGUGUGUGUGUCUGCAGGUUUUCAGGGACUAUUAUCAUUUCCAGCACAGGGGUGUGGUGAGAAGAUCUUUGUCCGGUCAUCACGGGGUUCAUGUCCGACUGCACACCGAGCCACAGGUGAUUUGGGCAGAGCAGCAGAUUUCCAAGCGAAGAUGCAAGAGAGACAUUCAUAUUGAACCCACAGAUCCAAAAUUCCCUCAGCAGUGGUACCUGUAUAAUCCCAGUCACGGAGAUCUGAAUGUUAAGGAGGCCUGGGCUCAGGGCUUCACAGGAAGAGGAGUGGUCGUGACCAUCCUUGACGACGGCAUUGAGAAAGACCACCCUGAUCUGGCGAGAAACUAUGAUCCCGAUGCCAGUUAUGAUGUGAAUGACAGAGAUCCAGACCCUCAGCCCAGAUACACACAGCUGAAUGACAACAG